rnacentral:lncRNA from 1 species
CGCUACCGCUUGAGCCACAUCCCCAGCCCCCCAUUUGUCUAUUUUAAAUUGUUUCUUGUGCUUUUGGAGUUCAUAUCAAAAAAUUCAUUGCUUAUACCAGUAUCUUGAAGUGUUUCCAUGUAUUCUUUGAGUAGCUUUAUAGUUGCAGUCUUACAUUUAGGUCCUUGAUCCAUUUUGACUUGGCUUUUGUACAGAGUGAGACAUAGGGGUCAAGUUUCUGCAUAUGCAUACCCAUUUUUCCCAGCACCGUUUAUUGAAGAGAUUGUCUUUUCUCUGAUGUAUAUUUUGGCACAUUGGUCAAGAAUCAGUUUCUUGUAGAUGUGUCAUUUCUGGGAUUUCAAUUCUGUUCUACUGGUCUGUUUGAUUUUACGCCAGUACCAUGCUCUUUUUGGUUACUGUGGUGCCAUAAUAUCAUCUUGAAAUCAGGUAUUAUGAUAUCUACAGUUUUGUUGUUGUUGUUGUUAAUAUUGCUUUGUCUUUUGUAUUUCUAAAUGAACUUUAUGUUAUCAGUAUUUUGAUGGAGAUUGCAUUAAACCUAUAAAGUUAUCUUAGGUAAUAUGGCCAUUUCAACAAUACUUGCUCUUUCCAUUUAUGGGAGAUCUUUCCAUUUUUAUGAAUAUCUUCUUCAAUUUAUCAGUGUUACAUAAUUUUUGUUGUAGUUAUCCUUCACUUCCUUGGUUAAAUUAAUUUCCAGAAUAGUUUAUUUUUUUUUGUUUAGGUAUUCUUGAUGGAAUUGCUUUUAUUUCUUUCUCAGCAUGUUCAGUAUUGGUAUAUACAAAUGCUACUGAUUUUGGUAUGUGGCAACUUUACUGAAUUCCUUUAUCAGUUUUAAUAGAAUUUUGGUGGAGUCUUUACAUUUUUCUAUAAAGAGAAUCAUGUCAGCUGUGAAGAGGGAUAAUUUGACUUUCUCCCUUCCUCUUGGAAUGCCUUUUCUUUCCCUUGCCUAGUUGCUCUAAAACUUCCAUUACUAUAUUGAAUAAGAGUGGUGAGGGCAAACACACUUGUUUUGUUCCAGAUCUUAGAGGAAACAUUUUCAUCCUUUCCCCAUUCAGUAUGAUAUUGUCUGUAUGUUUGUCUUAUAUAGCUUUUUUUUUCUAAUGUUGAGGUACAAUCCUUCCAUAGCUAAUUUGUUCAAGUUUUUAUCAUGAGAGAAUGCUGAAUUUUAUCAGAUGCUUCUUCUGUAGCUAUUGAGAUUAUUAAUGAUUUUUAUUCUUCAUUCUGUUGGUAUGAUGUAUUACCUUUAUAGAGUUGCAUAUACAUGUAAUGAAUUAGGUCAGUUUUGUUUUCUUUAAAAAUAUUUAUUUCUCCUACACUAUUUAAAAGAAGAUAUUGAGCCUAAUUUCCUUUUCCUUGAGUGUGAGUCAUAUAGAGUAACUUGCUUCUAACAAAUACAGUCAGAAGAAAGCAAUAGUGACUUGAAAGACUGGGUCCCAAAAGGUAUUGUAUCUUGUAUAUCCCUGAGUUUCCCCAGAGUAGGUGAUAAGAUCACCAAGAAAAGCUAUUCUUGAAUUUCUGACAUCUAGAAACUGAGAUAAUAAAUGAUUUUUAAGCCACUAAAUUUGGGGCAAUUUGUUAGACAGCAAUACUUAACUAAUAUUGAGGUUCUCAAACCUUCUUGGAUCUGUGAUUUGAUAUCCUUCAUUGUUUUUGGAAAUUCUUGACAUCUUCUCGUGAAAUAAUUCCUUGCCCCAUUCUCUCUCUAGUCCCCUUUUAGGAUUCAAUUCCAUGUACAGUCAUCUUAACCUUAAUGACAGAGAUACAUUUUGAGAAAUGUUAGAUGAUUUUAUCAGUGUGUAAACACAAUAGAGUAUUUAUAUAAACCUAGAUGGAAUAGCCUACAACAUACCUGUGUUAUAUGGUAAUAGCCUAUUGCUCUAAGGCUACAAACUUAUACAGCAUAUUACAGAAUAGGUAAGUAUUUGUAACAAAGUGAAUAUCUGCAUAUGUGUUAGUCAGCUUUCCAUCACUCUAAUGAAAUACUUGAGAAAAAGUUUAUUUUGGCUCACAGUUUUGGAGGUUCCAAUCCAUGACUGACUGGCCCCAUAACUUUUAGGCCUGUGGUGAUAUAGCAAGUCAUUUUUAUGGCAUUGGGGAUUGAAUCCAGGGAUGUUCUACCACUCAGCUACAUCCCCAACUUAUUCUUUAAAGGAGCAUCUUUUUUAAAAUAUUUUUUAGUUGUAGUUGGACACAAUAUCUUUAUUUUAUAUGUUUAUGUGGCGCUGAGGAUUGAAUCCAGCGCCUCGCACGUGCUAGGCAAGCGCUCUACCACUGAGCCCCAGCCCCAGCCCCUAAAGGAGCAUCUUAUGAUAGGACUAGUAUUCAGCAGAACAAACUUCAAGAAAUGAAGUUUCUUUUACCUUAGCUGGGCAAGGUGGCACACGCCUGUAAUUCCAGCAGCUUGGGAAGCUGAGGCAGGAGGAUUGUGAGUUCGAAGCCAGCCUCUGUAAUUCAGUGAGAAGCUAAGCAACUCAGUGAGGCUCAGUCUCUAAAUAAAAUACAAAAUAGAGCUGGGGAUGUGGCUCAGUGGUUGAGGGCCCCUGAGUUAAAUCCCCGGUAGCAGCCCCACCAAAAAAGAAAAAAAAAAAAAAAAAGGAAAUGCUAGCUUAGCUAUUCUUCUCUAUUCAAUGCAUUGUCCGUAAAUGCAUGAAGAAUGUUAAAUACUAUUUGUAAUUACUUUAAAUUGAUAAAUUCACUUAUAAUUUGAAGCUUAAUUCACAUUAUUUUGUUUAUAGCUUUUGCUGACACUGAACCCAAACCCAUCCCCAAAAGAACUAAUUGGUUUUAUUACUUUAUACAUCAUGGGCACAUUAUAUGAAUAGUUGUUUAUUUACAUGUCUGCCUAGUUCCACAAGAAAUGAGCUUAUUUGAGUGAGUGCCCUUGUCUGAUUCAUCUUUAUACCUCCAAUGUUAAUCAGAGAACUUGACUUAUACAAGGUAAAAUUGAUUUUUGUGGGUAUCUUUCUUGAGAAUGGUAAUGUAGGCUAGGUGUAUUUUUUCACUUGAGUAAAAUUUGAAUUUGUUGCCCCCAAACAGAGUAAACAGACGUGUUUCAUUAUUUGAAAGGAAUUGUUUAUAGCAUCCUUACUAUGUGUUAGAAGAGUAACUUGUUACCUUUUUUUGUUUAUUUUACAGAUCUGUUCACUUUACACAAAUAAAUUAAGUUCAAUACACAUAUACAGUAGUUCUCUCUUGUCCAUGGUUUGUCUGUCUACAGUUUCAGUUACCUAUAGUUAACAACAGGUCUGAAAUUUAAAUGGAAAAUUACAGAAACAAACACUUCAUAAAUUUUAAAUUAAACAAAGUUUUGAAUAGUCUCAUAAAUCUUGCACCGCCCUUCUUCAUCCUGUCUGGAAAAGUGAAGCUUCCCUUUGUCCAGAGUAUCCAUAAUAUAUAUCCACCCUUCCCAUUUUUAGUUGCUUAUUAUCUGUCUCAGUUUCCAGAAUUUUCAUGAUAUUACAGUGUUCAUGUGCAAAUAACCUUUAUUUUACUUAACAAUGGUCCCCAAAUUGCAAGAGUAGUGAUACUGGCAAUUUGGAUAUGCCAAAGAAAAGCUGUAUAGCACUUCCUUUAAGCGAAAAGUUGAAAAUUCUCAAUAAGGAAAGAAAAAAAGCAAUAUGCUGGAUGUGCUAAAAUCUACACGAAGAGUGACACAUAGUAUCAGUAGGGUUUGGUCAUUAUUCACAUUUCCAAGCAUCCUCUGGGGGUCUUGGAACAUAACUGCCUUAAAUAAGGUCAGAAUACUCUACUGACCAAUUAUUCUGUACCAGGAAUUAUGCUAAGCCUUAAGGAUACCAAUAUGAUACAAAUAACAUAAAUACUCAUAGUUCACUAGGGAGUCAUAACACAUUCAAAUAAAGUUUGACCAACAUCAAAGCAUAUACAGGUUUUAAGAGUGGUUUAGCAGAGUAGAAAAUGAGAUCAUUAUGAGGAGAGACUUCCCAGAUGAGAUUUCCUAAUUGGAGUCUGAAGAUGGAAAAGGAGUUUCCCAAGCAGGAACUUGGACUUAACCAACAGAUUGAUAGGAAGAGAUGACAAAUACCUUUGUUUUUUCUUUUCUGCAUUAGGAAAAUUUUGUAUUAUCAUAUAGUGAACAAACAUCAGUUGAGCAUAUAGAAUACCUCAGUCAUUUUGGUGGCACUGGAUUAUUUAAUAGAGCUAUGCCUUUAAAGCCCAUCAUAAAGGACAGUUUUGUUUAUAAGGUAGAUAGCCUAGAUUUCAUUUAUGGUUUCUAUCUUCCCAAUUGAUUCUUGGCAUAAACUUAUAGGACAGUAUUUCUAACUUUGUUGCUAGUGCCAACAUCAACAUUUCGAAUCAAAACACUUUGAAUCAAAAUCUGCCAGGCAGCAGAUUUUUUAGCAAGCCAUUUCAUAAACUGUAAUUAGUUUUCUAUAAAGGGCAAAUUAUUUCCUUUCCAAGUUUCAGUCUUUAUUAUAUUUUUUGUUAUGCAUUAAUAUCUACAAAUUUCUAUUUGGACUUAGCCCAAAGGAAUCCACAUCUUUUCAGC